AGUAUACGCUGUGCAGUACGGUGCAGUAAUAAACUUAAAAUCUAAAUUGCUAAAAAUUUGAUUAUUGUAUCUACAUAGAUAGCAGUACGGCUCGUUUAGGAGGGCAUGCAAAUUAGAUUAAAUAGUAUCACAAGGCACUAAGCAUUGUUAAAAACGCUAAUCACAGACUGUUUCGGAUAGAGGAUAGAAGAAGAAGACGAAAAUCUUUGAAGCAGCGAUUUAGCUGCUAUCAAGAUUGUGGUACUUCCCCAUCCGAACAAAGUGUUUUGCACAUACAUGCGUGCUGUACUUCUUUCCACUAGGAAAUGAAGUGCUUAACACAUGUAGUUCGAUUCAAUAGCAAAACACAUUACAUCCAAACGAAAAAACACAUCAAAACUAAUUGAAAAAUAAUCUAAUCUUGCAUCUUAAUGAAUAUGCACAUGAAAUCAUAAAAAAAAUCACUUUGGUUAUGUAUUGAAAUGAAAAAGCAUAUAAACUUGAAGUGCUGUUUACAUAUGAAUCGACCGUGUAAAUUUUAAUCAAUGUACUUCAUUACACACACACAAAACACGACGUUUUUGAGACGUAAUAUCUUUUAGGAAAUGAUUGCGAAAAUUCAACCUCCUCUUAAUUUGUCGUUAUCCGUAGGUA